UACGUAGGUGGCAAGCGUUGUCCGGAUUUACUGGGUGUAAAGGGCGUGUAGCCGGGUUGACAAGUCAGAUGUGAAAUCCUGCGGCUUAACCGCGGAACUGCAUUUGAAACUGUUGAUCUUGAGUACUGGAGAGGCAGACGGAAUUCCUAGUGUAGCGGUGAAAUGCGUAGAUAUUAGGAGGGACACCAGUGGCGAAGGCGGUCUGCUGGACAGCAACUGACGGUGAGGCGCGAAAGCGUGGGGAGCAAACAGG
rnacentral:rRNA from 1 species